ACUGUUUGAAGAGUGCCAGAGGUAGUACCAAGAGAAAGUGGCCAAUGCCAAAGAAUUGGAAGAACAGAGAGAUUUAACAUGGAAGAGACUAGAAGCUGUAGCGGCAAAGGGUGGAGGUGAGGACAUGGUUUUGGUGAACUGAUUGAGUUGGGUGGCCUAUCGAUCAGAUUGAAUGACUACUGGCUUCUCUUCAUUCUAGUUCUUAUUUUUUUUUUUUUUAAAUAUAUAUAUUUUUGGGCUAGGGGAGGAUGCAUUGAAUUUGAUUAUAUCAGGAAAGCCUAUGACUAGUGUAAUCUAAAAAUGUAUCAAAAUUUGUGGAUAAUGUGCUGCAGAUUAUGAAUGCUUGUUAAGAUUUCCAGUAAAUUUAUUGACUCCC